rnacentral:lncRNA from 1 species
AGAAUCAAAAUCAAAUGGUCAACAAGAGACAGGAGCACAGGAGUUGGACUUACCAUGAGUCCUAGGAACACCAGGGAGGAGCACGAGGGGUGCUUACAGCCUCAUCAGCAGGCGUUUACAGCAGGGAACCUGUCACCUUCCUGUGGAGCAGCUCACUUGCUGGAAUGCACCAUCAGACAGGAGAAGAGGUGGAGAACGGAUUGGUGGACGUGAGCCCAGAAGCAAUUCUCCAGAGAACAGGCACAGAGGACCUGAACUAAGGUAGUAGCAAAGGCGAAAAGACAAGAGAACAGAUACAGAGAUGGUGAGGAGGUCAGCCUCCUAGAUCCACGUGUCUCAAAAGUGUGGUCUCUGGACCAGCAACAUCAGCGUCAUCUGGGAAGACUAUUAGAAAUGCAUAUUCUCAGGCCCAAAGGAGACCGUCUCAAUCAGAAUCUGCGUUUUGUUAAGAUCCUCUAGUGAUCUACAUGCCCACUAACAAGUGAGAAGCACCACAUGCAGGGUAUGGGGAAUGAGGAAAGAAAGCACCAAGACUCUCACCCUCUGCUCAAGCAUCACAAAAUAGAUGAGACCUUUUACAACAGAAGAGGUGCUUUUAUUAAAGUGCUUCCUCCUUAACAACUUGGAGGUUGUUAUGGCGAGAGUAUUCUGGUCUUCAAUAUCUAUCCAAAUGAACCGGCAAUAAUAAAGUUGUUUUUGUGCUAAGGUCCUCGGCUUUCUUAUUAUACUCUCCUUUUCUCUGUUGAUACAGAUUUCUUCAAGCAUCCAGGGCUACCUUCCCUGUUUUGCAUGUGCUGCUGAAAUGGUUGAUUUUAAAACCUUCAUGCUCAGAAUUUUUUUUUUUUACUUUGUUUUUGCCUCCACCAA